rnacentral:rRNA from 1 species
AUGCACGCUGGCGGCGUGCCUAAUACAUGCAAGUCGAGCGAACAGACGAGGAGCUUGCUCCUCUGACGUUAGCGGCGGACGGGUGAGUAACACGUGGAUAACCUACCUAUAAGACUGGGAUAACUUCGGGAAACCGGAGCUAAUACCGGAUAAUAUAUUGAACCGCAUGGUUCAAUAGUGAAAGACGGUUUUGCUGUCACUUAUAGAUGGAUCCGCGCCGCAUUAGCUAGUUGGUAAGGUAACGGCUUACCAAGGCAACGAUGCGUAGCCGACCUGAGAGGGUGAUCGGCCACACUGGAACUGAGACACGGUCCAGACUCCUACGGGAGGCAGCAGUAGGGAAUCUUCCGCAAUGGGCGAAAGCCUGACGGAGCAACGCCGCGUGAGUGAUGAAGGUCUUCGGAUCGUAAAACUCUGUUAUUAGGGAAGAACAAGUGUGUAAGUAACUAUGCACGUCUUGACGGUACCUAAUCAGAAAGCCACGGCUAACUACGUG